rnacentral:rRNA from 1 species
UACAGAGGUCUCAAGCGUUGUUCGGAUUCAUUGGGCGUAAAGGGUGCGUAGGCGGCGCGGUAAGUCGGGUGUGAAAUCUCGGGGCUUAACUCCGAAACUGCAUUCGAUACUGCCGUGCUUGAGGACUGGAGAGGAGACUGGAAUUUACGGUGUAGCGGUGAAAUGCGCAGAUAUCAGGAAGAACACCCGUGGCGAAAGCGGCUCUCUGGAACGGUACUGACGCUGAGACGCGAAAGCGUGGGGAGCGAACAGG